CAGUGGCACACGCCUGUAGUCCCAGCUGCCCAGGAAACUGGGGUGGGAGGAUCUCCUGAGCCCGGGAGGCUCAGGAGGCUGCAGUGAGCCAUGAUUGAGUCACUGCAUUCCAGCCUGGGAGACAGAGCAAGACCCCGUCUAGAAAAAUAAAGUUUCUUCUGGUGUGGUGGUCUUGGGGCAGAGUUCCAAAAGAGUGAAAAUGGAAGCUGCAAAGUUUUUCAAGCUGAGACAUCCACCUUCUCCUGCCAUUGGACAUCUCGGGCCUUCUGACUUGGACCAGGACAGAUGCUGUUGGCUCCCUUGGUCCUCAGGCUUUCAGAUUCGUACUGGAACCGCAUCACCAGCUUUCUCGGGCCUCCAGCUUGCAGAUGGCAGAUAGUGGGACUUCUCCGCCUCCAUAAUCCUAUGAAUCAAUCCCUGUAAUAAAUCUCUUCCUGUUCAUAACUAUCUAUCUAUUUAUCUGUCUAUCUAUCUAUCUAUCUACCUACCUACCUACCUAUUAUCUGUCUACCUAUCGCUGAUUUUUUUUUUUGAGAUGGAGUCUCACUCUAUUGCUCAGGCUGGAGUGCAGUGGUGUGAUCUUGCCUCACUGCAACCUCUGCCUUCUGGGUUCAAGCGAUUCUCCUGCCUCAGCCUCCCAAGUAGCUGGGACUACAGGCAUGUGCCACCACGCCCAGCUAAUUUUUGUAUUUUUAGUAGACAUGAGGUUUCACCAUGUUGCCCAGGCUGUUUUCGAAUUCCUGACCUCAGGUGAUCCGCCCAUCUCAGCCUCCCAAAGUGGUGGGAUUACGGGCAUUACCUAUCAUCUAUUUAUCUCUUUAUUAUCUAUCUAUCUAUCUAUCUAUCUAUCUAUCUAUCAUCUGGUAUCUAUCACCUAUCUCAUCUAUGAUCUAUCAAUCUAUUAUCUAUCAUCUAUCUAUUAAUCUAUUAUCUAUCAAUCUAUCACCUAUCAAUCUAUUUCUAUUAUUUAUCUAUUAUAAAUCAAUCUAUUGCUCUAUCUGCCUAUCAUCUAUUUAUCAUCUAUCUACCUAUCAUCUAUUUAUGUACCUAUCUACCUAUCAUCUAUUUAUCAUCUAUUAUCUAUCACUUAUCUAUCAUCUAUCAAUCUACACUUGAUUUUAGCCAAAAGGCCAAGAGGCGAUCUAUCUAUCAUCUAUCAAUCUAUUAUCUAUCAUCUAUUAAUAUAAUUAUCUAUCUAUCUAUCUAUCUAUCUAUCUAUCUAUCUAUCUAUCCUACUGGUUCUAUUUCCCUGGAGAACCCUGACUAACACAGGCGGUAAGUAAGUUGUAGUGGUAACUGGGUUUGAGUCUGCCUCCUCCACUCCUCAACCACUUGAAUCUCUCUAUGCCCUGCCUUAGCCACCUAUGAAAUGGGAAUAAUUACAGCAAGGCCAACUCUUCUUCUUUUUUGGAGACGGAGUCUCACUCUUUCACCCAGCCUGGAGUGCAGUGGUGCGAUUUCAGCUCACUGCAACCUCCGCCUCCUGGGUUCAAGUAAUUCUCCUGCCUCAGCCUCCGGAGUAGCCGGCUAAUUUUUUUGUAUUUUUAGUAGAGACGGGGUUUCACCUUGUUGCCCAGGCUGAUUUCAAACUCCUGAGCUCAGGCUAACCGCCUGUCUUGGCCAAGUCUUCUUAAUGUCUGUUCAGCAUCUCUUCUCCCUGUCUUCCUUUUGUCACUGGAACCCCCCCAUAGGAUGCCCUAACACACAGAUUUUGGUAUGAGUGUGUUCGGCCCCAUCUAACUGAGGAUGCAUCGGAGAGGUCAGAUGUGCACAUUCACUGUGAAGGGACAGCCUUGAACGUGGACCCACACAGGGGUGAUUACUGGUGAUGAAAACUCCCUUGAGUUUUACUGAGUUGCAUUGCCAGAAGUGACAUGAUUGUCUAAAGUAGUGAAC
rnacentral:lncRNA from 1 species